CCUAACUUAGCGGCGGACGGGUGAGUAAUACUUAGGAAUCUGCCUAUUAGUGGGGGACAACAGUUGGAAACGACUGCUAAUACCGCAUACGCCCUACGGGGGAAAGCAGGGGAUCUUCGGACCUUGCGCUAAUAGAUGAGCCUAAGUCAGAUUAGCUAGUUGGUGGGGUAAAGGCCUACCAAGGCGACGAUCUGUAGCGGGUCUGAGAGGAUGAUCCGCCACACUGGGACUGAGACACGGCCCAGACUCCUACGGGAGGCAGCAGUGGGGAAUUUUGGACAAUGGGCGAAAGCCUGAUCCAGCCAUGCCGCGUGCAGGAUGAAGGCCUUCGGGUUGUAAACUGCUUUUGUACGGAACGAAAAGACUCUGGUUAAUACCUGGGGUCCAUGACGGUACCGUAAGAAUAAGCACCGGCUAACUACGUGCCAGCAGCCGCGGUAAUACGUAGGGUGCAAGCGUUAAUCGGAAUUACUGGGCGUAAAGCGUGCGCAGGCGGUUAUAUAAGACAGAUGUGAAAUCCCCGGGCUCAACCUGGGA
rnacentral:rRNA from 1 species